AGGGCACCACCAGGAGUGGAGCCUGCGGCUUAAUUUGACUCAACACGGGAAAUCUCACCAGGCCCGGACACCGGAAGGAUUGACAGAUUGAGAGCUCUUUCUUGAUUCGGUGGGUGGUGGUGCAUGGCCGUUCUUAGUUGGUGGAGCGAUUUGUCUGGUUAAUUCCGAUAAUGAACGAGACUCUGGCCUACUAACUAGACGUUGGAUCCCUUUGUGGGUCCAUCGCAGCUUCUUAGAGGGGCGGGCGGCGUUUAGCCGCACGAGAUUGAGCAAUAACAGGUCUGUGAUGCCCUUAGAUGUUCUGGGCUGCACGCGCGCUACACUGAAGGAAUCAGCGUGUGUUCCCUAUCCGAAAGGAUUGGGAAACCCGUUGAACCUCCUUCGUGAUGGGGAUUGGGGAUUGCAAUUAUUCCCCAUGAACGAGGAAUUCCCAGUAGGCGCGAGUCAUAAGCUUGCGUCGAUUACGUCCCUGCCCUUUGUACACACCGCCCGUCGCUACUACCGAUCGAGUGAUUUAGU
rnacentral:rRNA from 1 species